rnacentral:tRNA from 1 species
GCCCGGAUGGCGGAAUUGGCAGACGCACAGGACUUAAAAUCCUGAGGAGGUUCACCUCCGUGUGGGUUCGAGUCCCACUCCGGGCA